rnacentral:tRNA from 1 species
UCCCUCGUGGCGCAAUUGGCUAGCGCGUUUGACUGUUAGCCGGCAACGGAAAGCAAAUCAGGAGGUUGGUGGUUCAAGCCCACCCGAGGGAG